rnacentral:rRNA from 1 species
AUUGAACGCUGGCGGCAUGCUUUACACAUGCAAGUCGAACGGUAACAGGCCUUCGGGUGCUGACGAGUGGCGAACGGGUGAGUAAUGCAUCGGAACGUACCCAGAGGUGGGGGAUAACGCAGCUAAAGCUGUGCUAAUACCGCAUGUGAUCUGAGGAUGAAAGCGGGGGACCGAGCAGCAAUGUUUGGCCUCGCGCCUUUGGAGCGGCCGAUGUCGGAUUAGCUAGUUGGUGGGGUAAAGGCCUACCAAGGCGACGAUCCGUAGCUGGUCUGAGAGGACGACCGGCCACACUGGGACUGGAACACGGCCAAGACUCCUACGGGAGGCAGCAGUGGGGAAUUUUGGACAAUGGGCGCAAACCUGAUCCAGCAAUGCCGCGUGCGAGAAGAAGGCCUUCGGGUUGUAAACAGCUUUUGGCAGGAACGAAACGGUGUCCGCUAAUACCGGGCGCUAAUGACGGUACCUGCAGAAUAAGCACCGGCUAACUACGUG